rnacentral:rRNA from 1 species
AUCUACGUCCAUACUACCCUGAACGCGCCCGAUCCCAUCUGAACUCGGAAACUAAGCAGGAUCAGGUCUGGUUAGUGCUUAGAUGGGAGACUGCCUGGGAAUACCGGGUGCUGUAGGCU